UACAUACUAGCUCAUUUGGUAGAGCAUCAGGCUUAUAUCCUGCAUGUAGUCGGUUCGAUUCCGACGUAUAUACCCA
rnacentral:tRNA from 2 species